GACAGAGGCCUCGAGCGUUAGGCGGAAUCACUGGGCUUAAAGCGUGUGUAGGCGGGCCCGUAAGUGUCUUGUGAAAUCCCACGGCUCAACCGUGGAACUGCUGGGCAUACUGCGGGUCUUGGGCCAACUAGGGGCAGCCGGAACAAGCGGUGGAGCGGUGAAAUGCGUAGAUAUCGCUUGGAACGCCAAUGGUGAAAACAGGUUGCUGGGAGUGUGCUGACGCUGAGACACGAAAGCCAGGGGAGCGAACGGG
rnacentral:rRNA from 1 species